UACGUAGGGGGCAAGCGUUAUCCGGAUUUACUGGGUGUAAAGGGAGCGUAGACGGCGAAGAAAGUCUGAAGUGAAAGCCCGCGGCUCAACCGCGGAAUGGCUUUGGAAACUUUUUUGCUGGAGUACCGGAGAGGUAAGCGGAAUUCCUAGUGUAGCGGUGAAAUGCGUAGAUAUUAGGAGGAACACCAGUGGCGAAGGCGGCUUACUGGACCGAAACUGACGUUGAGGCUCGAAAGCGUGGGGAGCAAACAGG
rnacentral:rRNA from 1 species